CCUACGGGAGGCAGCAGUGAGGAAUAUUGGUCAAUGGACGAGAGACUGAACCAGCCAAGCCGCGUGAGGGAUGAAGGUCCUGUGAGUUAUAAACUUCUUUUGUAAGGGAAUAAAGGCGGGGACGUGUCCCGGGUUGAAUGUACCGUAAGAAUAAGCAUCGGCUAACUCCGUGCCAGCAGCCGCGGUAAUACGGAGGAUCCGAGCGUUAUCCGGAUUUAUUGGGUUUAACGGGUGCGUAGGCGGUAUGUUAAGUCAGGGGUGAAAGGCCGGGGCUCAACCCAGGAACUGCAGUUGAAACUGGCAGUCUUGAGUAGAGGAGAGGUAGGCGGAAUUCGCGGUGUAGCGGUGAAAUGCAUAGAUAUCACGCAGAACUCCGAUUGCGAAGGCAGCUUGCUG
rnacentral:rRNA from 1 species